GCACAUAAAGUGCAUGGGGAUACGUUUAAGGCCAAGGAAGUGAAUGCCUUUUUGCAUUUACAAUGGCUGCACAUUACUUUCUACUUGGAGAAUUCCCAUUUUUACAUUGCUUUCAUUUUUGCUUCUUAAGAAACGUACCAGCACCCCUAAAUUAAACCAUUCUCUCUUAGCUAAUCAUUUUGUUUCUUAAGAAAAUUAGCAUUAACCAUGGCUGCCAAGCUCACGGCCAUGGCAGUCCACAAUAAGGCUCAAUAUUUUGAUAGCAAAAUAAAAUAAAAUAAAUAAAUAAAUAAUCUCCGAGGUGUUCUAAGUGUUUGAGGGAGCAGCAAGAUCAGAAGUUAAAGUUGAAGAAGAUGAAAUGGGCAAAUUGUGCAAGUUAUUGGAAGAUCUGUCCUAAUUAUAUUUGAGACCUGCGAGCUCGAGAAGUAGACGUUGGACAUUAGAUAGAGUUCAAGGUAUGUGAGGCUAGUCCUUUCUUUCUAUGGCAUGAAUCUUAUAGCUUGACUCUCUUUUUAUCCAUGAGUUUCCUUAAGUUCCGAAAAAUACGAGUCUAUGCCCAUAAUUAGACACACAAGGUAAUGAGUAAAGUAUAGAAAUCUCAAUACUCAUGUUGUGAUGAUCCUAUGAUGUUAAUGAUGUUAUUUAUUGCUUACACUCACCUUAUAUGCUAAUUCCUUCAAGGUGAGGCAGGAUGUCAAUGAAUGUUCCAUAAUGACGUCGGAAGCCACCGACUUUACGUCACUCCGAUAUAGUUAUGGCUUUUGAUUGGGAUCUUAUGCAUGCUUUAUAUAUAUACGUAUGUAUUUUCUCACACCGCGCCGCGCUAUAGUCGGCCGGGCAUGCACGUAGAUGUGCACACCACUAUAGUGGGCAGCUUAUACCCCGGACGCGGGAGGCCUGGACGCAGGCUAUGAUUAUCACACCGCUCCUACCUGGACGGGCAGUUAUACAUUAUCACACCGUACCUAUAUGGACGGGCAGCUUAUAUGUGUAUACAUACAUGGUAAUGAUUAUGAGUAAGUGAGCAUGCAUUAUUUCAGUUAUUUUUGAUAUCCAGUACAGAUUGCCCUUUCUUGAUGCCUCCUUAUCUCAUUGAUGCCUUCAUAUUUCAUUGAUAUAUUGCUAUUGUUUAUGCCUCUCAUACUCAGUACAAUAUUCGUACUGACGUCCGUUUUCUUCGGACGCUGUGUUCAUGCCCACAGGUAGACAGGGAGGUGAGCUUGAUCCAGAUUCUUAGUAGCUGUCAGCUGAUUGAGAGCACUCCAUUGUUCGGAGGUGCUUAUGUUUAUUCUUUUGGCUCCUUUAUGUAUUUCGCGCACGACGGAGUCUUGUUCCGUCUAUAUGUAUAAUAUGUCAGUAGAGGCUCGUAGAUGCGCAGUGUGGGUUAGAUGGUCUCACAAGAUUACUAUGUUAUAUUUGUAUAUGUUAUUUUGAUGGCCUAAGGGGCACAUGUAUAAUAAAAUCAUUUGUGUUGUCAAAUGAAAAAUGGUUGUCUUA